UACGUAGGGGGCGAGCGUUGUCCGGAUUUACUGGGCGUAAAGAGCGUGUAGGCGGCCACGCAGGUCCGUUGUGAAAACUGGAGGCUCAACCUUCAGACGUCGACGGAAACCGCAUGGCUAGAGUCCGGAAGAGGAGAGUGGAAUUCCUGGUGUAGCGGUGAAAUGCGCAGAUAUCAGGAAGAACACCGAUGGCGAAGGCAGCUCUCUGGGACGGUACUGACGCUGAGACGCGAAAGCGUGGGGAGCGAACAGG
rnacentral:rRNA from 1 species